rnacentral:rRNA from 1 species
CGUAGGUAACCUACCUCUUAGCGGGGGAUAACUAUUGGAAACGAUAGCUAAUACCGCAUAAAAGUCGGCAUUGCAUGAUGUUGACUUGAAAGGUGCAACUGCAUCACUAAGAGAUGGACCUGCGUUGUAUUAGCUAGUUGGUGAGGUAACGGCUCACCAAGGCGACGAUACAUAGCCGACCUGAGAGGGUGAUCGGCCACACUGGGACUGAGACACGGCCCAG